AGGGGGGGUAGACAACAGGGAUUGCCCUAGUAACGGCGAGUGAAGCGGCAACAGCUCAAAUUUGAAAUCUGGCUUUCGGGCCCGAGUUGUAAUUUGUAGAGGAUACUUUUGAUGCGGUGCCUUCCGAGUUCCCUGGAACGGGACGCCAUAGAGGGUGAGAGCCCCGUCUGGUUGGAUGCCAAAUCUCUGUAAAGUUCCUUCGACGAGUCGAGUAGUUUGGGAAUGCUGCUCUAAAUGGGAGGUAUAUGUCUUCUAAAGCUAAAUAUUGGCCAGAGACCGAUAGCGCACAAGUAGAGUGAUCGAAAGAUGAAAAGCACUUUGAAAAGAGAGUUAAAAAGUACGUGAAAUUGUUGAAAGGGAAGCGUUUAUGACCAGACUUGGACUUGGUUAAUCAUCUGGGGUUCUCCCCAGUGCACUUUUCCAGUUCAGGCAGCAUCAGUUUUCGCCGGGGGAUAAAGGCAGCGGGAAUGUGGCUCUCUUCGGGGAGUGUUAUAGCCCGUUGUGUAAUACCCUGGUGGGGGACUGAAGGUUCGCGCUUCUGCAAGGAUGCUGGCGUAAUGGUCAUCAACGAACCCGUCUUGAAACACGGACCAGGGAGUCGUCUUCGUAUGGCAAGGGUUCGGGUGUCAAACCCCUACCCGUAAUGAAAGGGAACGCAGGUUAAAACUUCGGGGCAUCAACGAACGGAUCCCGAAGGUUUCCGGAGGGAUUUUGAGUAAAAAGCUACCCGGGUCCGGAACCCAAAAGAAAGGGGAACUUAUGCCUGGUUAUGGGGGGAAGCCCUAAGGAAACUCUUGUUGGGAAGGUCCCGAAUCGGGUUUUUUAACGGGGAAAUCCGAUUCGCCAAAAUUUGGGCUUGGGGGGGCCAAAAGAUAAUUCCAACUUUUCCCGGAAUUGGUUCCGACAUCCC
rnacentral:rRNA from 1 species